AACGCUAGCUACAGGCUUAACACAUGCAAGUCGAGGGGUAACAAGAGAAAAGCUUGCUUUUCUUGUUGACGACCGGCGCACGGGUGAGUAACGCGUAUCCAACCUGCCUAUAACUAGGGAAUAACCUUGCGAAAGUAAGACUAAUACCCUAUGAUUUCCUUUGAUGACAUCAGAUUAGGAAUAAAGAUUUAUCGGUUAUAGAUGGGGAUGCGUCUGAUUAGCUUGUUGGCGGGGUAACGGCCCACCAAGGCAACGAUCAGUAGGGGUUCUGAGAGGAAGGUCCCCCACAUUGGAACUGAGACACGGUCCAAACUCCUACGGGAGGCAGCAGUGAGGAAUAUUGGUCAAUGGGCGGAAGCCUGAACCAGCCAAGUAGCGUGCAGGAUGACGGCCCUAUGGGUUGUAAACUGCUUUUAUACAGGAAUAAAGUUAGCCACGUGUGGUUAUUUGUAGGUACUGUAUGAAUAAGGACCGGCUAAUUCCGUGCCAGCAGCCGCGGUAAUACGGAGGAUCCGAGCGUUAUCCGGAUUUAUUGGGUUUAAAGGGAGCGUAGGCGGACGCUUAAGUCAGUUGUGAAAGUUUGCGGCUCAACCGUAAAAUUGCAGUUGAUACUGGGUGUCUUGAGUACAGUAGAGGCAGGCGGAAUUCGUGGUGUAGCGGUGAAAUGCUUAGAUAUCACGAAGAACUCCGAUUG
rnacentral:rRNA from 1 species